GAUGAACGCUAGCGGCAGGCCUAACACAUGCAAGUCAGGGGUAACAUGGAAAGCUUGCUUUUCUGAUGACGACCGGCGCACGGGUGCGUAACGCGUAUACAACCUACCUUUUAGCGGGGAAUAGCCCAGGGAAACUUGGAUUAAUGCCCCAUAGUAUAUAGACUUCUCCUGAAGUUUAUAUUAAACAUUUAUGGCCAUUGGAUGGGUAUGCGUCCUAUUAGCUAGUUGGUGUGGUAACGGCACACCAAGGCUACGAUAGGUAGGGGUCCUGAGAGGGAGAUCCCCACACUGGUACUGAGACACGGACCAGACUCCUACGGGAGGCAGCAGUGAGGAAUAUUGGACAAUGGGCGAGAGCCUGAUCCAGCCAUGCCGCGUGCAGGAAGACUGCCCUAUGGGUUGUAAACUGCUUUUACAGAGGAAGAACCACCCUCACGUGUGGGGGUUUGACGGUACUCUGCGAAUAAGGAUCGGCUAACUCCGUG
rnacentral:rRNA from 1 species